GUGUCAGCCGCCGCGGUAAUACGAAGGGGGCUAGCGUUGCUCGGAAUCACUGGGCGUAAAGCGCACGUAGGCGGACUCUUAAGUCGGGGGUGAAAGCCCAGGGCUCAACCCUGGAACUGCCUUCGAUACUGGGAGUCUUGAGUAUGGUAGAGGUUGGUGGAACUGCGAGUGUAGAGGUGAAAUUCGUAGAUAUUCGCAAGAACACCAGUGGCGAAGGCGGCCAACUGGACCAUUACUGACGCUGAGGUGCGAAAGCGUGGGGAGCAAACAGGAUUAGAAACCCUGGUAGUCC
rnacentral:rRNA from 1 species